AGUAAAUGCAGCUGCGCUUUUGCUUUUCAGGAGCACAGGAGGCACCGUGCUCAGGACCCUUCCAGCACUAGGCUUUGGGACACAGCAAGUAUUUGGGCAUCUACAAAGGCAAAGAAGAUGUCUAAAACCGUAGGUGAAAAUGCGUUGGAGCCAGCAGCAGGAGCUCGAGUGACAGCUGACAUUACUAAAUUGGAGCAACCUGGACGUACCUUCCAUGGCAUGUCCCCACCGGAUGGCAGGGUUUACCCCCCGAAGGUACAAUGAGAAAAUGGAAAUUGCACUUAAAUGCCCUCUGGGAGGCUUAGCUCACUCCUUAUCUUCAAAAGGCUUGAUCCAAAACUCAUCAAAUUCAGAGGAACAGAUCCCAGUGGGCUUUGGAUUAGUCAAGAAGGGUGAAAUUGUGGACUUCAUGAAGUUUGCAUUACAUGCGCAGAUAUGCA